AAUAUAGCAAAUUAACCUGACGAUAUCGGGAUAUGGGUAUUUAGUCGGAUCUUAACACGUACUUGUGAUUUGUUUGAAACCGGUUUUAACGAAGAAAUGUCGAAAUGUUCAGAACUUAAUUAAAUCUGUUUUUGGGUAAGAUGGUGCAAGCAUACGAUUUUUAUUGCGUCUUACACUUUGAGAAGCGAAUAAUCUUUAGCUACUUUAUUU
rnacentral:lncRNA from 1 species